CCUGGCGGUAGCCUACACAUGCNAGUCGAACGGCAGCACAGAGGAGCUUGCUCCUUGGGUGGCGAGUGGCGGACGGGUGAGGAAUACAUCGGAAUCUACUUUUUCGUGGGGGAUAACGUAGGGAAACUUACGCUAAUACCGCAUACGACCUUCGGGUGAAAGCAGGGGACCUUCGGGCCUUGCGCGAUUGAAUGAGCCGAUGUCGGAUUAGCUAGUUGGCGGGGUAAAGGCCCACCAAGGCGACGAUCCGUAGCUGGUCUGAGAGGAUGAUCAGCCACACUGGAACUGAGUCACGGUCCAGACUCCUACGGGAGGCAGCAGUGGGGAAUAUUGGACAAUGGGCGCAAGCCUGAUCCAGCCAUACCGCGUGGGUGAAGAAGGCCUUCGGGUUGUAAAGCCCUUUUGUUGGGAAAGAAAAGCAGCAGGCUAAUACCCCGCUGUUCUGACGGUACCCAAAGAAUAAGCACCGGCUAACUUCGUGCCAGCAGCCGCGGUAAU
rnacentral:rRNA from 1 species